rnacentral:rRNA from 1 species
UCAGACUAUUAGCUAACUGCUAAGCUCGAGACCGUUAGGGUAACUGAAUUCUAGGUAGAGUGAAAUCCGUAGAUAUAGAAGAACACCGAAGCGUAGCAGGUACUGGGACGGUCUGACAUAAGCACGAAAGCGUAGGGAGCAAACGGGAUUAGAUACCCCGGUAGUCUACGCCGUAAACGAUGGAUACUAGCAGUUUUGGGUAUCGACCCCCAGAGUUGCGAAGCUAACGCGUUAAGUAUCCCACCUGUGUAGUACGAUCGCAAGAUUAAAACAUAAAGGAAUUGACGGGGACCCGCACAAGCGGUGGAGCGUGAUCUUUAAUUCGAUGGUAAACGAUAAACCUUACCAAGGGCGGGACAUCCGAGGAAGACUCUCGAGAGAGAACUGUGCCUUCGGGAACCUUGAAAAAAGGUGAUGCAUGGCCGUCGUCAGCUCGUGUCGUGAGAUGUUUGGUUAAGUCCAUCAACGAGCGCAACCCUUGCAACCAGUUGGAUUUUUCUGGUAGGACUGCCCCGGUAACGGGGAGGAAGGAGGGGAUGAUGUCAGGUCAGUAUUUCCCUUACGCCUUGGGCUAGAAUCGCGCUACAAUGGCCGGUACAAUGCGAAGCGAAGCAGUGAUGUGAAGCAAAUCGCACCAAAGCCGGUCCCAGUUCGGAUAGAAGGCUGAAACUCGCCUUCUUGAAGUCGGAAUCGCUAGUAAUCGCAGAUCAUCAUAUUGCGGUGAAUACGUUCCCGGGUCUUGUACACACCGCCCGCCCACCAUGGGAGUUUGUAACACCCGAAGUC